rnacentral:rRNA from 1 species
AACGCUAGCUACAGGCUUAACACAUGCAAGUCGAGGGGCAGCAUGGUGGAUGCUUGCAUUCACCGAUGGCGACCGGCGUAUGGGUGAGUAACGCGUAUCCAACCUGGCGUGCACACCGGCACAGCCCCUGGAAACGGGGAUUAAUUCCGGAUGGCGUGGAUUAGGCGCAUGCCUAUUCCACUAAAGGUAUUCCGGUGCACGAUGGGGAUGCGUUCCAUUAGGCAGUUGGCGGGGUAACGGCCCACCAAGCCGUCGAUGGAUAGGGGUUCUGAGAGGAAGGUCCCCCACACUGGAACUGAGACACGGUCCAGACUCCUACGGGAGGCAGCAGUGAGGAAUAUUGGUCAAUGGCCGGAAGGCUGAACCAGCCAAGUAGCGUGAGGGAUGACAGCCCUACGGGUUGUAAACCUCUUUUGUCCGGGAAUAAAACGGGGGACGCGUCCCCCCCUGCAUGUACCGGUUGAAUAAGGGCCGGCUAAUUCCGUGCCAGCAGCCGCGGUAAUACGGAAGGCCCGAGCGUUAUCCGGAUUUAUUGGGUUUAAAGGGAGCGUAGGCGGGAUUCUAAGCCAGCCGUUAAAUGAUGGGGCUCAACCCCGUCCUGCGGUUGGAACUGGCGUCCUUGAGUUGGGUGCAUGAAGGUGGAAUUCGUGGUGUAGCGGUGAAAUGCAUAGAUAUCACGAAGAACUCCGAUUG